AGAGUUUGAUCCUGGCUCAGAGUGAACGCUGGCGGUUGGCCUAACACAUGCAAGUCGAACGGCAGCACAGGAGAGCUUGCUCUCUGGGUGGCGAGUGGCGGACGGGUGAGGAAUACAUCGGAAUCUACCUUUUCGUGGGGGAUAACGUAGGGAAACUUACGCUAAUACCGCAUACGACCUACGGGUGAAAGUGGGGGACCGCAAGGCCUCACGCGAUUAGAUGAGCCGAUGUCCGAUUAGCUAGUUGGCGGGGUAAUGGCCCACCAAGGCGACGAUCGGUAGCUGGUCUGAGAGGAUGAUCAGCCACACUGGAACUGAGACACGGUCCAGACUCCUACGGGAGGCAGCAGUGGGGAAUAUUGGACAAUGGGCGCAAGCCUGAUCCAGCCAUACCGCGUGGGUGAAGAAGGCCUUCGGGUUGUAAAGCCCUUUUGUUGGGAAAGAAAUCCUGUCGAUUAAUACUCGGUGGGGAUGACGGUACCCAAAGAAUAAGCACCGGCUAACUUCGUGCCAGCAGCCGCGGUAAUACGAAGGGUGCAAGCGUUACUCGGAAUUACUGGGCGUAAAGCGUGCGUAGGUGGUGGUUUAAGUCUGCUGUGAAAGCCCUGGGCUCAACCUGGGAAUUGCAGUGGAUACUGGGUCACUAGAGUGUGGUAGAGGGAUGCGGAAUUUCUGGUGUAGCAGUGAAAUGCGUAGAGAUCAGAAGGAACAUCCGUGGCGAAGGCGGCAUU
rnacentral:rRNA from 1 species